GCGUCGGUUGUGAAAGCCCGGGGGCUUUAACUCCGGGUCUGCAGUCGAUACGGGCAGCUAGAGUUCGGUAAGGGGAGAUCAGUACUCCUGGUGUAGCGGUGAAAUGCGCAGAUAUCAGGAGGAACACCGGUGGCGAAGGCGGAUCUCUGGGCCGAUACUGACGCUGAGGAGCGAAAGCGUGGGGAGCGAACAGGAUUAGAUACCCUGGUAGUCCACGCCGUAAACGGCGGGCACUAGGUGUGGGCAGCAUUCCACGUUGUCCGUGCCGUAGCUAACGCAUUAAGUGCCCCGCCUGGGGAGUACGGCCGCAAGGCUAAAACUCAAAGGAAUUGACGGGGGCCCGCACAAGCGGCGGAGCAUGUGGCUUAAUUCGACGCAACGCGAAGAACCUUACCAAGGCUUGACAUACACCGGAAACAUCCAGAGAUGGGUGCCCCCUUGUGGUCGGUGUACAGGUGGUGCAUGGCUGUCGUCGGCUCGUGUCGUGAGAUGUUGGGUUAAGUCCCGCAACGAGCGCAACCCUUGUCCCGUGUUGCCAGCAGGCCCUUGUGGUGCUGGGGACUCACGGGAGACCGCCGGGGUCAACUCGGAGGAAGGUGGGGACGACGUCAAGUCAUCAUGCCCCUUAUGUCUUGGGCUGCACACGUGCUACAAUGGCCGGUACAAAGAGCUGCGAUACCGUGAGGUGGAGCGAAUCUCAAAAAGCCGGUCUCAGUUCGGAUUGGGGUCUGCAACUCGACCCCAUGAAGUCGGAGUCGCUAGUAGUCGCAGAUCAGCAUUGCUGCGGUGAAUACGUUCCCGGGCUUGCACUCACCGCCCGUC
rnacentral:rRNA from 1 species